UAAACUGCGUAACUCUUAUUAUCACAUUAUUAAUAUCAAUUUUUCUACUAAUCUACAAACAAUACAGGUGCCAAGUGAUAACUAACUCCAUAAAUAGGUACAAGAAUAACAAGUUAUUUCCAUUUACCCGAUGAACAUCAAAACGAAAUUAUACACAAAUAUCCACAUUCGCACUGAGUCAUUAAUUAAUCACUUGAGUCGGGCAGCAACUGAAGGUCGUACUACACAUAUCAUCAUAAAUAAUACUAAUUUGAUUAAUGGUGCUCAUCAGUACCCGGUUCACUCUGACCCCUCGUCACACGAAAACGACAGGUAGUACCGCUGGCAAAAUAGCAUGCAGUGAAAGAAAAGUGAGGUUAAGUCUUACCUGCUUGGCCGGUGUUUGGGCUCUGCUGCUGGUUUCCGCACUCAUACGUGUUUCUUCUUCAUACAUGACAAUAUCAGCCCUAUCUGUUGUAGAAGUGUCACCUUGUGGUGGUGCUAACAGUGAGUUAGAUGGUGACUUUUGAAGUCCAUCGUCAAUUUCGAUCGUUUUGACUUCACUUUUAUCACUCAAUAGAAAUGAGUCUUCUUUUAGCUCUUUCAAUUUAGUACCACCGAGUUUCGGCUCCUGUAUUAAGCACACACUUUAGAAGACUAAAAUUACGGGGUGGUUAUUGAAUGCGACUUAUUAACGACCAGUCUUAUAAUUCUGGUGUAAACUCAAAUUAUUGUGUCUGAGAUGUUUAAACUUGACCAAAGUUACAUUUACUAAGCACAGCAGGUGAACACACUAAAAAUAGAUCAUUGCGAGAUUAUAUUUGAUCCAUGUGUGUUAAUGUACACUUUAAAGUUCUGCUGGAUCAUGGAACAUGCGGAGGCAUGUGACGGUUUUUCUUUUUAUUUAUCGACAUACAGGAUGGCCCAACAUGAACACGAUUACGCCGUAAAAUUACAGACUAAACACACGUAAAGCUGUUAGCUUCUCUACAUCAACAUUUGUAACAUAUUUAAAAUGUCAUCAUAGAUAAUAAAAAACAACAAUAAAAUAAACGUCUCUGAUAAAAAUAAAAA